CGGGGAAUUUUGGACAAUGGGGGAAACCCUGAUCCAGCCAUCCCGCGUGUGCGAUGAAGGCCUUCGGGUUGUAAAGCACUUUUGGCAGGAAAGAAACGUCAUGGGUUAAUACCCCGUGAAACUGACGGUACCUGCAGAAUAAGCACCGGCUAACUACGUGCCAGCAGCCGCGGUAAUACGUAGGGUGCAAGCGUUAAUCGGAAUUACUGGGCGUAAAGCGUGCGCAGGCGGUUCGGAAAGAAAGAUGUGAAAUCCCAGAGCUCAACUUUGGAACUGCAUUUUUAACUACCGGGCUAGAGUGUGUCAGAGGGAGGUGGAACUCGGCGUGUAGCAGUGAAAUGCGUAGAUAUGCGGAGGAACACCGAUGGCGAAGGCAGCCUCCUGGGAUAACACUGACGCUCAUGCACGAAAGCGUGGGGAGCAAACAGG
rnacentral:rRNA from 1 species